rnacentral:rRNA from 1 species
UUUAUUGGAGAGUUUGAUCCUGGCUCAGGAUGAACGCUGGCGGCGUGCCUAAUACAUGCAAGUCGAGCGAAUUGAUUAAGAGCUUGCUCUUAUGAAGUUAGCGGCGGACGGGUGAGUAACACGUGGGUAACCUGCCCAUAAGACUGGGAUAACUCCGGGAAACCGGGGCUAAUACCGGAUAAUAUUUUGAACUGCAUGGUUCGAAAUUGAAAGGCGGCUUCGGCUGUCACUUAUGGAUGGACCCGCGUCGCAUUAGCUAGUUGGUGAGGUAACGGCUCACCAAGGCAACGAUGCGUAGCCGACCUGAGAGGGUGAUCGGC